rnacentral:rRNA from 1 species
UACGGAGGGUGCAAGCAUUAAUCGGAAUUAUUGGGCGUAAAGGGCGCGUAGGCGGAAGUAAAAGUCAGAUGUGAAAUUCCGAGGCUCAACUUCGGAACUGCAUUUGAAACUUUACAUCUAGAGGGAUGGCGGAGAAAACGGAAUUCCACGUGUAGCGGUGAAAUGCGUAGAGAUAUGGAGGAACACCAGUGGCGAAGGCGACUUUCUGGUCUGUAACUGACACUGAGGCGCGAAAGCGUGGGGAGCAAACAGG